GCAUAUCAAUAAGCGGAGGAAAAGAAACCAACAGGGAUUGCCCUAGUAACGGCGAGUGAAGCGGCAACAGCUCAAAUUUGAAAUCUGGCCCUCUCAGGGUCCGAGUUGUAAUUUGCAGAGGGUGCUUUGGUGUUGGCUGUGGUCUAAGUUCCUUGGAACAGGACGUCACAGAGGGUGAGAAUCCCGUACGUGGCCGCCAGCCUCCACCGUGUAAAGCCCCUUCGACGAGUCGAGUUGUUUGGGAAUGCAGCUCUAAAUGGGAGGUAAAUUCCUUCUAAAGCUAAAUACUGGCCAGAGACCGAUAGCGCACAAGUAGAGUGAUCGAAAGAUGAAAAGCACUUUGGAAAGAGAGUCAAAAAGCACGUGAAAUUGUUGAAAGGGAAGCGCUUGCAGCCAGACUUGCCUGUAGUUGCUCACCUUGGCUUCUGCCUUGGGUACUCUUCUACGGGCAGGCCAGCAUCAGUCCGGGCGGUUGGAUAAAUGCUCGCGGAAUGUACCUCUCUCCGGGGAGGACUUAUAGCCGCAGGCGCCAUACAACCAGCCUGGACUGAGGUCCGCGCAUCUGCUAGGAUGCUGGCGUAAUGGCUGUAAGCGGCCCGUCUUGAAACACGGACCAAGGAGUCUAACAUCUAUGCGAGUGUUUGGGUGUAAAGCCCGAGCGCGGAAUGAAAGUGAACGGAGGUGGGAACCCCUCGGGGUGCACCAUCGACCGAUCCUGAAGUUUACGGAUGGAUUUGAGUAUGAGCAUAGCUGUUGGGACCCGAAAGAUGGUGAACUAUGCCUGAAUAGGGUGAAGCCAGAGGAAACUCUGGUGGAGGCUCGCAGCGGUUCUGACGUGCAAAUCGAUCGUCAAAUUUGGGCAUAGGGGGCGAAAGACUAAUCGAACCAAUCUAGUAGCUGGUUCCUGCCGAG
rnacentral:rRNA from 1 species